UGGAUGACAAGUACCAAUACUCAACUGAGGACAAAGAUAAUCGGGUUCACGGGUGGAUAUGCUUUGACCCGCCUGUGGGGUUCUGGCAAAUCACACCCAGCAAUGAGUUCCGAGCCGGUGGACCCUUCAAACAAGACCUAACCUCCCAUGUCAACCCAACAACCCUUGCUGUAAGUGACAACCCAUACCCAUUUUUACUUACAAAUAAUUACAUGAUCCAUGUUGAUUUCACUAAUUUGUAUUAAUGCUUUUGGUGAUUAUGUCCAAUUGAUACAUAAUCUUGAUCAAAAUUGCAUGUGUAUCAGAUAUUUGUCACUUCUCAUUAUGUCGGACCAGAUUUUAAAGUAAAAUUUGAACCUGGUGAGAUAUGGAAAAAGGUUUUCGGUCCGGUUUUUAUCUAUCUUAAUUCUGUGCCGGAUGAAAAUAAUGCGCUUUCACUUUGGGACGAUGCAAAAGAACAGAUGAAUAUUGAGGUCUAGAGCUGGCCCUACAAUUUCCCAGCAUCACACUCCUUCCCACCUAAAAUUUGUUCCACCUAAAAUUUUUUCUAAAAAUUUUUUCUGCAAUUUUUUCUUCAGAUGAAUAAGAUUGGUUCUUUGCUCAAGUAACCAGGAAAAUAGGUGAUAACACAUACAAAGGAACUACGUGGCAAAUCAAAUUCACACUUGAGAAUGUAGAUCAAAGUGAAAUUAUUGGUACCUACAAAUUAAGACCCAC